rnacentral:sRNA from 1 species
AUUUUUUUUCUGCAAUCUCUCCGACUUCUUCUACUUGCUCUAGGCUCUAUUAUUUUCCACUUGGCUCAAUUUUUUUGGUUUUUUUUGU